rnacentral:rRNA from 1 species
UUCCGGUUGAUCCCGCCGGACCUGACUGCUAUCGGAUUGAUACUAAGCCAUGCGAGUCAUUGUAGCAAUACAAGGCAGACGGCUCAGUAACGCGUAGUCAACCUAACCUAUGGACGGGAAUAACCUCGGGAAACUGAGAAUAAUGCCCGAUAGAACACUAUGCCUGGAAUGGUUUGUGUUCCAAAUGAUUUAUCGCCGUAGGAUGGGACUGCGGCCUAUCAGUUUGUUGGUGAGGUAAUGGCCCACCAAGACUAUUACAGGUACGGGCUCUGAGAGGAGUAGCCCGGAGAUGGGUACUGAGACACGGACCCAGGCCCUAUGGGGCGCAGCAGGCGAGAAAACUUUGCAAUGUGCGAAAGCACGACAAGGUUAAUCCGAGUGGUUUCUGCUAAAGGAACCUUUUGUCGGUCCUAGAAACACCGAUGAAUAAGGGGUGGGCAAGUUCUGGUGUCAGCCGCCGCGGUAAAACCAGCACCUCAAGUGGUCAGGAUGAUUAUUGGGCCUAAAGCAUCCGUAGCCUGCUUUGUUAGUUUUCGGUUAAAUCUAUGCGCUCAACGUAUAGGCUGCCGGGAAUACUGCAAAGCUAGGGAGUGGGAGAGGUAGACGGUACUCGGUAGGAAGGGGUAAAAUCCUUUGAUCUAUUGAUGACCACCUGUGGCGAAGGCGGUCUACCAGAACACGUCCGACGGUGAGGGAUGAAAGCUGGGGGAGCAAACCGGAUUAGAUACCCGGGUAGUCCCAGCCGUAAACCAUGCAAACUCAGUGAUGCAUUGGCUUGUGGCCAAUGCAGUGCUGCAGGGAAGCCGUUAAGUUUGCCGCCUGGGAAGUACGUACGCAAGUAUGAAACUUAAAGGAAUUGGCGGGGGAGCACCACAAGGGGUGAAGCCUGCGGUUCAAUUGGAUUCAACGCCGGA